GCCCCUGUAGCUCAAUGGACAGAGCAGCAGUCUUCUAAACUGUUUGUUGCGCGUUCGAUUCGCGCCAGGGGUA
rnacentral:tRNA from 1 species